UCUCCGUUGGUGAACCAGCGGCGGGAUCAUUACCGAGUUUACAACUCCCAAACCCCUGUGAACAUACCAUUUGUUGCCUCGGCGGUGCCUGCUUCGGCAGCCCGCCAGAGGACCCAAACCCUUGAUUUUAUACAGUAUCUUCUGAGUAAAUGAUUAAAUAAAUCAAAACUUUCAACAACGGAUCUCUUGGUUCUG
rnacentral:misc_RNA from 1 species